rnacentral:rRNA from 1 species
CCUACGGGUGGCAGCAGUGAGGAAUAUUGGUCAAUGGGCGAGAGCCUGAACCAGCCAAGUCGCGUGAGGGAGUACUGCCCUAUGGGUUGUAAACCUCUUUUGUCGGGGAGCAAAAGCCGGACGUGUCCCGGACUGCGUGUAUCCGAAGAAAAAGCAUCGGCUAACUCCGUGCCAGCAGCCGCGGUAAUACGGAGGAUGCGAGCGUUAUCCGGAUUUUUUGGGUGUAAAGGGCGUGCAGCCGGAGAGACAAGUCAGAUGUGAAAUCCACGGGCUCAACCCGUGAACUGCAUUUGAAACUGUUUCCCUUGAGUGUCGGAGAGGUAAUCGGAAUUCCUUGGGUAGCGGUGAAAUGCGUAGAUAUAAGGAAGAACACCAGUGGCGAAGGCGGAUUACUGGACGAUAACUGACGGUGAGGCGCGAAAGCGUGGGGAGCAAACAGGAUUAGAUACCCCAGUAGUC